rnacentral:rRNA from 1 species
AGAGUUUGAUCCUGGCUCAGGACGAACGCUGGCGGCGUGCUUAACACAUGCAAGUCGAACUAUGAUGCCCAGCUUGCUGGGUGGAUUAGUGGCGAACGGGUGAGUAACACGUGAGUAACCUGCCCUUGACUUCGGGAUAACUCCGGGAAACCGGGGCUAAUACCGGAUAUGAGCCGCUCUCGCAUGGUGGGUGGUUGGAAAGUUUUUCGGUCAGGGAUGGGCUCGCGGCCUAUCAGCUUGUUGGUGGGGUGAUGGCCUACCAAGGCGACGACGGGUAGCCGGCCUGAGAGGGCGACCGGCCACACUGGGACUGAGACACGGCCCAGACUCCUACGGGAGGCAGCAGUGGGGAAUAUUGCACAAUGGGCGAAAGCCUGAUGCAGCGACGCCGCGUGAGGGAUGAAGGCCUUCGGGUUGUAAACCUCUUUCAGCAGGGAAGAAGCGCAAGUGACGGUACCUGCAGAAGAAGCGCCGGCUAACUACGUGCCAGCAGCCGCGGUAAUACGUAGGGCGCAAGCGUUGUCCGGAAUUAUUGGGCGUAAAGAGCUCGUAGGCGGUUUGUCGCGUCUGGUGUGAAAACUCGAGGCUCAACCUCGAGCUUGCAUCGGGUACGGGCAGACUAGAGUGCGGUAGGGGAGACUGGAAUUCCUGGUGUAGCGGUGGAAUGCGCAGAUAUCAGGAGGAACACCGAUGGCGAAGGCAGGUCUCUGGGCCGCAACUGACGCUGAGGAGCGAAAGCAUGGGGAGCGAACAGGAUUAGAUACCCUGGUAGUCCAUGCCGUAAACGUUGGGCACUAGGUGUGGGGCUCAUUCCACGAGUUCCGUGCCGCAGCAAACGCAUUAAGUGCCCCGCCUGGGGAGUACGGCCGCAAGGCUAAAACUCAAAG